CCUACGGGAGGCAGCAGUGGGGAAUAUUGCACAAUGGGGGAAACCCUGAUGCAGCGACGCCGCGUGAGUGAAGAAGUAUCUCGGUACGUAAAGCUCUAUCAGCAGGGAAGAAAAUGACGGUACCUGACUCAGAAGCCCCGGCUAACUACGUGCCAGCAGCCGCGGUAAUACGUAGGGGGCAAGCGUUAUCCGGAUUUACUGGGUGUAAAGGGAGCGUAGACGGCAGCACAAGUCUGGAGUGAAAUCCCGGGGCUUAACCCCGGAACUGCCUUUGAAACUGGGCGGCUGGAGUGCAGGAGGGGUAAGCGGAAUUCCUAGUGUAGCGGUGAAAUGCGCAGAUAUUAGGAGGAACACCGGUGGCGAAGGCGGCUUACUGGACUGUAACUGACGUUGAGGCUCGAAAGCGUGGGGAGCAAACAGGAUUAGAUACCCCGGUAGUC
rnacentral:rRNA from 1 species